rnacentral:rRNA from 1 species
AUGGGCACAAUUCAACUCUCCUGCAUCCAGAUAGCCAUAGGCUUGCUCUUCCUCACUCAAGCCAAGAGCACCAAAGAGGAGACAUCUGCCCAUCGAAACUAUACCAUCACCAGCUGUAUUUCGGACGAGAGGUCUGCCCUUGUCACCUUCAGGGCAGGCCUCUCAGACACUGCAAACCGUCUUUCAUCAUGGAAGGGCGGUGACUGCUGCCAAUGGAAGGGCGUCCACUGCAGCAACAUUACCGGCCGUGUCAUCAGGCUCGAUCUCCAUGGACCAGGUUGCCACAACAGCAUUGUGCAGGUGCUUGGAGGUAACAUAAGCUCCUCGCUGCUUGGUUUACAACACCUACAGUAUCUCGACCUCAGCUGCAACAGGUUCGAGUUGCAGAUACCAGAGUUCUUAGGCUCCCUCUACAACUUGAAAUAUAUAGACCUAUCAAAUUCAUACUUCGUUGGAAGGGUACCCCCACAGCUUGGUAAUCUCUCCAACCUGCGUUACUUCAGUCUUGAUUCCACUCUUGGUGACACAUACUCCAGGGAUAUCACGUGGUUGUCCCGGUUAACUUCCCUUCAACACCUAGACAUGACAUUUGUAAACCUUAGUACAAUUGCUCAUUGGCUUCCGGUUGUGAACAUGCUUCCAUUUCUAAAAAUUCUCCGUCUUGGAUAUUGCGAUCUUACAAGCAGCCCUGAUUCUCUUCAGUUUUCAAAUCUGACAUCUCUUGAAAUACUUGACCUUCCGGCCAAUGACUUCCUCAAACGUAGCACGCCAAACUGGUUUUGGGGUUUAACUAGACUUAAGUAUCUAGAUAUAUCAGCGAGUGGUCUCCAUGGGCCGUUUCCCGACGAGAUAGGUAAUAUGACCUCCAUGGUUAGACUUGAUUUAUCAAGCAAUGACCUGGUGGGCAUGGUACCAACUAGCAUGAAGAAUCUUUGUAACUUGGAAGAGUUGUUUCUGUUUGAAAACAACAUCAAUGGGUGCAUAGCAGAAUUCUUCCAACGCUUACCUAGUUGUUCAUGGAAUAAGUUACAAACAUUGGAUCUACCUUUUACCAAUCUGACUGGAAGUCUGCCAACUACGCCAGUACCCUUAAGCAACCUGACAAUCCUUGAUCUAAGCUGUAACAAGCUCACAGGCCCCCUGCCGUUGUGGAUAGGAGAGCUCACAAAGCUAAAAUCAUUGUACCUUGGCUCCAACAACCUGGAUGGGGUCAUACAUGAAGGUCAUUUAUCGCGUCUAGACAUGCUAGACGUGUUGACAUUGUCUGACAACUCCAUAGCCAUCGUAGUCAGCCCAGCUUGGGUUCCUGCCUUCAAUCUAACAACACUUGAACUUCGAUCCUGCCAGCUAGGGGCCAAGUUUCCAAUGUGGCUUAGAUGGCAAAGACAACUAUAUAGUCUCGAUAUAUCAAACACAAGUAUAUCUGACAUGUUGCCAGAUUGGUUUUGGGUUUCAACUUCCUCAGUAUUUUAUAUCAAUAUCCGAGAUAAUAAGAUCAGAGGAGUCCUCCCAUCAACAAUGGAAUUUAUGAGAGGAAUAGCAAUGGAUUUUAGUUCUAAUCAGAUCACUGGUCCAAUUCCUAAGCUUCCUACAAAUCUAUCCAACCUAGAUAUCAGUAGGAACAAUUUAGUAGGACCAUUGCCAUUAGACUUUGGAGCGUCGGGACUUCAAACACUUGUUCUGUUUGACAAUUGUAUCUCAGGAAACAUACCAUAUUCUCUGUUCAAAUUGCAAUCACUCAGUCUGUUAGACAUAUCAGGAAACAAUCUAACUGGGUCAGUUCCAGAUUGCCUAGACAAUGAAUCCACAACAAACACAACUAGUCUGAGUAUUCGUAACCUAAGCUUGAGAAACAACCACCUCUCUGGUGAAUUUCCUUCAUUUCUCCAAAGCUGCAACCUACUCAUCUUUCUUGAUCUUUCAAAUAAUCAUUUCUUUGGGACUUUGCCAACAUGGAUUGGGCAGAAAUUGACGUCGUUGGCAUUCUUACGUCUGCGAUCAAAUAUGUUUUAUGGCCACAUUCCAGUGGAGCUUAUGAAGAUCAGUAAUCUUCAGUAUUUGGACCUUGCCUACAACAAUAUAACUGGGAGCAUACCAACAUCCAUUGUUAACUUCAAAGGGAUGAUACUAAUGGGAGAUGACGAUGCUGGAUAUGAAGAAGCAUUUGGCCAUGGUUUGGCAAUCGGUGAUAAUGAAUUGGUGGACUACAGUGAGAGUACUCACAAAGGGUCAAGAGAGAUUAUAUACAGGAGAAAUCAUAUUUUAUGGUGA